rnacentral:rRNA from 1 species
UACGUAGGAGGCGAGCGUUGUCCGGAAUCAUUGGGCGUAAAGAGCGUGUAGGCGGCCCGAUAAGUCCGCUGUGAAAGUCCAGGGCUCAACCCUGGGAUGCCGGUGGAUACUGUCGGGCUCGAGUACGGAAGAGGCGAGUGGAAUUCCUGGUGUAGCGGUGAAAUGCGCAGAUAUCAGGAGGAACACCAAUUGCGAAGGCAGCUCGCUGGGACGUUACUGACGCUGAGACGCGAAAGCGUGGGGAGCAAACAGG